GCAACCGCCGGGCCAAGGAGGGCGGUAAUACGGGGGGUGCAAGCGUUAAUCGGAGUUACUGGGCGUAAAUCGCAGGCAGGCGGUUGGAUAAGUUAGAUGUGAAAGCCCCGGGCUCAACCUGGGAAUUGCAUUUAAAACUGUCCAGCUAGAGUCUUGUAGAGGGGGGUAGAAUUCCAGGUGUAGCGGUGAAAUGCGUAGAGAUCUGGAGGAAUACCGGUGGCGAAGGCGGCCCCCUGGACAAAGACUGACGCUCAGGUGCGAAAGCGUGGGGAGCAAACAGGAUUAGAUACCCGGGUAGUC
rnacentral:rRNA from 1 species